GCCUAGAGCCCAUGCUCUGCAACAAGAGAAGCCACUGCAGUGAGAAGCCCCUGCUCGCCACAACUAGAGAAACUGCGCACGCAGCAACAAAUGCCCAACACAGCU